CAGUCGCCACGGUAAUACAGAGGUCUCAAGCGUUGUUCGGAUUCAUUGGGCGUAAAGGGAGCGUAGGCGGUCGGGUAAGUUGGAUGUGAAAUCCUGGGGCUCAACCUCAGAACUGCAUUCAAUACUGCUUGGCUAGAGUAUUGGAGAGGUGAGUGGAAUUCACGGUGUAGCAGUGAAAUGCGUAGAUAUCGUGAGGAAGACCAGCGGCGAAGGCGGCUCACUGGACAAUUACUGACGCUGAUGCUCGAAGGCUAGGGGAGCAAACGGGAUUAGAUACCCGUGUAGUCCCUGUCUCUUAUAC
rnacentral:rRNA from 1 species